rnacentral:rRNA from 1 species
GAGUUUGAUCUUGGCUCAGAACGAACGCUGGCGGCAGGCCUAACACAUGCAAGUUGAACGAUGUAGCAAUACAGAGUAGCGCACGGGUGCGUAACGCGUGGGAAUAUCCCCUUGACUACGGAACAACGUCGGGAAACUGACGCUAAUACCGUAUAAUGUCUUCGGACCAAAGAUUUAUCGGUCAAGGAUUAGCCCGCGUCUGAUUAGCUAGUUGGUGAGGUAACGGCUCACCAAGGCGACGAUCAGUAGCUGGUCUGAGAGGAUGAUCAGCCACACUGGGACUGAGACACGGCCCAGACUCCUACGGGAGGCAGCAGUGAGGAAUAUUGGACAAUGGGGGAAACCCUGAUCCAGCCAUGCCGCGUGAGUGAUGAAGGCCUUCGGUUGUAAGCUCUUUUAGUCGUUGACGAUGAUGACGGU